GAGUGAAACCCUUUCCAGGAUCUGCCAGCUUCUUCGUCAGGGAGAGCGGAGAGUUGUGCUGGCACCGGGCCUGGAUUCUUGAACCACUGUAGCACCAGACUCGAGCGGAGGCCAGGGGGAGAGGGAGCAAGAGCUGGUCGUCUCAGAGAUCAUGGAGCCCCGCCACCACAAACACCAUCUUCUGCUUUUCUUUAUGGCAUUUGUUAAGCUCUUACUAUGUGCCAGGCACUGUACGAAGUGCUAGGGGAAAUAGAGAAGCAGCGUGGCUCAGUGGAAAGAGCCCGGGCUUUGGAGUCAGAGGUGAUGAGUUCAAAUCCCGGCUCUGCCACUUGCCAGCUGUGAGACUGUGGGCAAGUCGCUUCACUUCUCUGUGCCUCAGUUACCUCAUCUAUAAAAUGGGGAUGAAGUCUGUGAGCCCCACGUGGGACAACCUGAUUCCCCUGUGUCUACCCCAGCGCUUAGAACAGUGCUCUGCACAUAGUAAGCGCUUAACAAAUACCAUCAUUAUUAUUAUUAUUAGAGAAGCAGUCCCUGUCCCAAAUGAGGCUGACACCUUGUUCACCGGCUGUUGCUGUCUGCUGGCUGAAGUGCUCUAGCCAACAGGGGCCAGAGUUAGUCUUUGGAGAGGAGGACGGGGAAGAGAAAAGUCUUCUUGGAAGGUUGUUUUUUUUUUACCCAAUUCAAAUUAAUUCAGUCAAUCAAUCCAUCUUCUACUAAAGUCCAGCUCGCACAUUUUGUUCCUUUCAUGCAUUCAUUCAAUCGUAUUUAUUCAGCGCUUAAGGUGUGUAGAGCACUGUAAUAAGCGCUCGGGAAAGUACGGUUUAAUAAUAAAUGGACACAUUUAUUCCCUGCCCUCAGCGAGCUAGUGCUAGUUGCCACUGACCCCUUUUCCACAUCCUCCCUCUGGCCUGAAACUCCUCCCUCCUCCUUAUAUGCCCCACAUCACUCUUCCCCCCAACCAAAAGCCUAGUUAAAAUCACAUUUCCUCCAAGAGGUCUUCCCUGAUUAAGCCCUCUUUUUUUCCCCAAAUCCCUCUCCCUUCUGCAU
rnacentral:lncRNA from 1 species